rnacentral:lncRNA from 1 species
UCCCCGAUCCCUCUAUUUAUAGCUUUUAGUGCUCUUCCACAGUUCCACUUUCAUAUCCCUCCUCCAUAGCACAACUCUUGCGAAGGCGAAGGCAGCAACAUCGAAAGCCGUAGCAACGGAAAAGCACAUGCGACAAUAGACGAAUACUUAGUAUGGAUUUUGUAGUAUAAUGUUUUUCCCUUUCUUUCUAACUUGUUACUAACUAACUCUUCUCCCCUGCUCCUUAAACUCUGAUUUGCAGAAUGCUAACAGCAACAUGAACUACACAAUUCUAUUCAACUAUAUGGGUGUCAAUAAAGACAUCAAGCAAGCAAGCCACAUGCUGGUACAAGCUCAACAAAAUUAAGAAGGCAAAGUAGAAGAGGUGGGACAGUACAAAUAUUAUUGUGUUGUAGUCGGAAUGCAGGCAAUAGACAACCUGGAAGUUUUUCUCGAGGAUAAGUCAAGUUGGAGUGGAACUAGGGCUGGCAAGUGGGUCAGGCCAGGUCCGGGAGCGGCUCGGGACCGCGGGCUAAACGGACUAAAUGGGUUAAACGUGCUGAGACCUUUGGCCCGCGAUUGGUGGGCUCGUGCCGGUCUAGUGGGCCGGGACAAACUGGCCCAACGGAAUUUUAAAAAAAAAAAAUAGUCGUUGCCUUUUAAAAAGAGUCGUUGGCUCUUCAAAAAAUAUCUAUUUAACCCCUCCAACUAAUUAUUAACCCCAAACUUUUUAUUAUUGCACUUUUUUCCUAUUUUCUACUAUAAAUACCUCUCAUUCUUUCAUUUUCUUACAAAAUCAAUAUCAAUCUAUCAAAAUCUCUCUUUAAUUU